CCUACGGGUGGCAGCAGUGAGGAAUAUUGGUCAAUUGCCGGAAGGCUGAACCAGCCAUGCCGCGUGAAGGUCAGUGCCCUAUGGGCGUUAAACUUCUUUUGUGCGGGAGCAAUAAUGGUCACGUGUGGCCAGACGAGAGUACCGUACGAAUAAGCAUCGGCUAACUCCGUGCCAGCAGCCGCGGUAAUACGGGGGAUGCAAGCGUUAUCCGGAUUUAUUGGGUUUAAAGGGUGCGUAGGCUGUGAGGUAAGUCAGCGGUGAAAUGCCCCCGCGCAACGGGGUGAAGUGCCAUUGAUACUGCCUGGCUGGAAUGCGGAUGCCGUGGGAGGAAUGUGUGGUGUAGCGGUGAAAUGCAUAGAUAUCACACAGAACACCGAUUGCGAAGGCAUCUCACGAAUCCGCGAUUGACGCUGAUGCACGAAAGCGUGGGUAUCAAACAGGAUUAGAUACCCGUGUAGU
rnacentral:rRNA from 1 species